CUUAAACAAGAAAAGAAGAAAGUGGGCCCUCUCUUCCUCCAGAUUCUCGAUGUGAUCCACCAGCAAGGGAGGAUGCCAAUGGAAGAGCCCUCACCCAGUGGCUGAAGGAAGCAGAGACAGACAUCCACAGAUAUACACUGAGCUGAAAUCAGGAAUUUAGUUGAAGAGAGGGAGGAAUGAAGAACGAAAGGGUCUGUACCAGGUUGGAGAAACCCACAGGAACAGUUGACCUGAACAAGGGAGAGCACAUCGACCCCAGAUGCUGUCGGGGAGGCCAGUACAAGACUGAUCCAGACCCCUGAACAUGGAUGUCAAUAAGGAGGCCUCUGCACUCCAGGGAGCCUCUGGUGGUGGAUUAGUAUUUUUCCCUGGUGCAAGAAGGGACUUUGAGAGCCCAUCCCACGUGAAGGGAUACACUCUGGCCCUGGACACAUGGGGAAGGGCCCAGGCCCAGCCCAGGAAGAUUUGGUGGACUUUGCAGAGCCCCUGUUGAGGGCCCUACCCUGCCUGGGGAGUGGUGG
rnacentral:lncRNA from 1 species